GGAGAGGUGGCCGAGUGGCUGAAGGCGGCGGUCUCGAAAACCGCUAUUCAGAGUAUUCUGGAUCGUGGGUUCGAAUCCCACCCUCUCCGCCA
rnacentral:tRNA from 1 species